rnacentral:rRNA from 1 species
CGUACCGGAGCUUACACAUGCAGUCGACGGUCUCUUCGGAGAUAGUGGCGGACGGGUGAGUAACGCGUGAGAAUCUAGCUUCAGGUCGGGGACAACCACUGGAAACGGUGGCUAAUACCGGAUGUGCCGAAAGGUGAAAGAUUUAUUGCCUGAAGAUGAGCUCGCGUCUGAUUAGCUAGUUGGUGUGGUAAGAGCGCACCAAGGCGACGAUCAGUAGCUGGUCUGAGAGGAUGAUCAGCCACACUGGGACUGAGACACGGCCCAGACUCCUACGGGAGGCAGCAGUGGGGAAUUUUCCGCAAUGGGCGAAAGCCUGACGGAGCAAUACCGCGUGAGGGAGGAAGGCUCUUGGGUUGUAAACCUCUUUUCUCAGGGAAUAAAAAAAUGAAGGUACCUGAGGAAUAAGCAUCGGCUAACUCCGUGCCAGCAGCCGCGGUAAUACGGAGGAUGCAAGCGUUAUCCGGAAUGAUUGGGCGUAAAGCGUCCGCAGGUGGCACUGUAAGUCUGCUGUUAAAGAGCAAGGCUCAACCUUGUAAAGGCAGUGGAAACUACAGAGCUAGAGUACGUUCGGGGCAGAGGGAAUUCCUGGUGUAGCGGUGAAAUGCGUAGAAAUA